rnacentral:snRNA from 1 species
ACACGGACCAAGGAGUCUGA